rnacentral:rRNA from 1 species
CAGUCGCCGCGGUAAUACGUAGGGUGCAAGCGUUAAUCGGAAUUACUGGGCGUAAAGCGUGCGCAGGCGGUUUGUUAAGACAGAUGUGAAAUCCCCGGGCUCAACCUGGGAACUGCAUUUGUGACUGGCAAGCUAGAGUAUGGCAGAGGGGGGUGGAAUUCCGCGUGUAGCAGUGAAAUGCGUAGAUAUGCGGAGGAACACCGAUGGCGAAGGCAGCCCCCUGGGCCAAUACUGACGCUCAUGCACGAAAGCGUGGGGAGCAAACAGGAUUAGAGACCCCAGUAGUCCCUGUCUCUUAUAC